rnacentral:rRNA from 2 species
UCCUACGGGAGGCAGCAGUGGGGAAUUUUCCGCAAUGGGCGAAAGCCUGACGGAGCAAUACCGCGUGAGGGAAGAAGGCUCUAGGGUUGUAAACCUCUUUUCUCAGGGAAGAACAAAAUGACGGUACCUGAGGAAUAAGCAUCGGCUAACUCCGUGCCAGCAGCCGCGGUAAUACGGAGGAUGCAAGCGUUAUCCGGAAUGAUUGGGCGUAAAGCGUCCGCAGGUGGCAAUUUAAGUCGAUUGUUAAAGCCCAGGGCUUAACCCUGGAGGUGCAGUGGAAACUGAAAUGCUCGAGUGCGGUAGGGGCAGAGGGAAUUCCCAGUGGAGCGGUGAAAUGCGUAGAGAUUGGGAAGAACACCAGUGGCGAAAGCGCUCUGCUAGGCCGCAACUGACACUAAUGGACGAAAGCUAGGGGAGCGAAUGGGAUUAGAUACCCCAGUAGUCCUAGCCGUAAACGAUGGAUACUAGGCGUUGAGAGGAUCGACCCUCGCAGUGCCGUAGCUAACGCGUUAAGUAUCCCGCCUGGCGACGGGCCCCGGGGA